ACCCGCCUCCAGCCUCUCCAAGCUCCACCCGGGUUGCUUUUAUAUAUCCUUCCCUUUUGUGCAAGUGGAACACAGGGGUUUAGCUAUAACUGAGUGGCUGGGUUCCUUCAAAGAACCGGGGGUCCCCAGCUCCUGAGGGCCCCCCAGCUCCACCCCUCCCGAUUUUCUUCAUUAUCUCCAUUAAUCAGAGGGGCCACCUGGGAGAGAGUUGAACUUCCACAGGGCCCCCUCUCCCCUAGCUACACCCCUGGGAGGAAGGGCAACUGAUGGCUCUGAGUUUGGGGCAAAAGAAACUUCUCUUUUUCCCUUGCUCCCUUUCGCUCCUCCGACACAUCUGUCCAGCAACCAUGGUUGGAAACCGAAAUCGCUUUUCUGAUUGGUUGACUAUUUUACCCUUGGCCAAUCCCAGCUUUUCUGAGAGCGUGGAUGCUUAGUGCCUGCGAGCGAGCCGCGGCCGACAGGGGAGUCGACUUCAUGUAGAUAGAUGGCUCUGCGAUGGCCCCUUUUCCUCCUUGGAAUGGCUGCCCUUUGCUUGGGGCCCUCCUCUGAUCUCUUCAGGAACUAUUUUCGGACUGUCAGAAUUGGAAGAUUGCUACCGUUCUUUUGUGCAGAUUCCUCAAGUCAUCUCAUCUUUUUGAGUAUUUAUAAAACCAUCUCUUUUUCUGGACAUUUGUGCUCUUUUUUGGACUUCCAGUAGGUGGCGUUUGUGGGACCUUAUGGUCCUGGUACGCCAUUACCUUCCACAAGAAAAAGAAGAAGAUCCACACAUGAACCUGUCCCCUUUUCCCAUGACUGCUAAGUUUAUACAAGAGCCUUUGGUGGGGAACUUUGCCAAAAGCUUUUUGGAAGUCUAAGUAUACUAUGUCAACUAGAUCACCUUUAUCUGCAUGCCUACUGACACUCAAAAGGCUCCUCAUCACACUCUCUGCGCCAUCUCUACUUGGGGGUCUUGGAGCCCAUCCAGGGUCUCCCCUGGUACACUCAGUUGGGGUUUGUGGACGAACAACUCAUCACUCGCUAUGACAGCAACACUAGGAAGGAUAA